rnacentral:rRNA from 1 species
GACGAACGCUGGCGGCGUGCUUAACACAUGCAAGUCGAACGGAAAGGCCCUGCGUUUGUUGGGUUCUCGAGUGGCGAACGGGUGAGUAACACGUGAGUAACCUGCCCUUGACUUUGGGAUAACUUCAGGAAACUGGGGCUAAUACCGGAUAGGAUCUCCUGCUGCAUGGUGGGGGUUGGAAAGUUUCGGCGGUUGGGGCUGUACUCGCGGCUUAUCAGCUUGUUGGUGGGGUAGUGGCUUACCAAGGCUUUGACGGGUAGCCGGCCUGAGAGGGUGACCGGCCACCUUGGGCCUGCGAUACGCCCCAGACUCCUACCGGAGGCAGCAGUCGGGAAUAUUGCACAAUGGGCGGACGCCUGAUGCAGCAACCCCGCGUGCGGGAUGCCGGCCUUCGGGUUGUAAACCGCUUUCGCCUGUGCCGAAGCCUGCGUGACGGUAAUGGGUCAAGAAGCACCGGCUAACUACGUG